UAAUGGGAGAGGAAAACAAAUUG
rnacentral:piRNA from 1 species